ACUUAAAGCUAUAUCACCUCAAUACCAAAUAGAGUUAAAGAAAUUAAAUUGUUUUCUAAAUAGAGUCUAAAUGAAAUUGUUUUCUAAAUAUCAUUUUGUGAGUGGAAAUUUUAAUCUCAAUUUUCUUGGAUUGAAAUCACUUAUAUUAUCUUUUAAUAGAUACUACCAUGUAGAUAAGAAAAAUAUGUUAAAGAAAUUAAAGACUGACGGAAAUUACGAUACCCUAGACUGAAGUUACCGUAUUAAUGGUAUACUAUUAUUUUUGUCAGGGUGAUGAAGUUUUGGACUUGUAAAUGGCUGAUCGACGGGGCAUAUUGUAGGUAAUUUUAAACAUAUCUGGGUUAUUUCUGAGAAAUUUUUUCUGUUGAGGAGAUUUGUUCUUUCGUCUGUGUUGUUCUGAUCAAUAUUGUUUCAUCAACAUCUUGAUUAAUUCGAUGGAAAACCUUUCCAAUUAAUUAAUCAAGACUUGAGAUCAAGAAUACAACAUACAGAGUAAAUAAAUUGGUGGCCAAUAAAAAAUGCUAAAUUGUCCUAACCGUACGUCAACUUAAUCAAAUUUACAUGAGUAAAUGAGAAAAAAAAAAAUAUGAACACUGCGUUACAAGGAACUAUCAUACACAAAAUAAAGUUAGUUCACUUCGACCAAAGAACAAUUCGACUAAAGUGAUGACUACUGCACAGGCAAUGUUGGUAUAUAAUAAGAAAUAAGGAAGUUAUCCACCGACCACUUGUUUUUUCAUC
rnacentral:lncRNA from 1 species